rnacentral:ncRNA from 1 species
AAUAAAGUGUAGAAGAGGAUAAGUAAAAAAAUGAUGUCUUAAAGAGAGAACCAUCACCGGCUGAAAGUGGUUCAGGCCGCUCAUUUUUUGAAAUGCACCUCUGAGCCUCAUUUCGAAAGGGAUUUUUCUAGAGUAGAAAUGGGCGGAACCUUUCCGUUAACAGGUAGAGUGAGACCAUUUUGAAGUUUUGCAGUAAUUUAAAUGACUGUUAACUUUGGUCUAAUCAGAGUGGAACCGCGCUAAAGCGUCUCUGUC